rnacentral:rRNA from 1 species
UACGAAGGGUGCAAACGUUGCUCGGAAUUAUUGGGCGUAAAGCGCACGUAGGCGGCAUCGCAAGUCCCAUGUGAAAUCCCACGGCUUAACCGUGGAAGUGCAUGGGAAACUGCGGUGCUUGAGUACUUAAGAGGAUCGCGGAAUUCCCGGUGUAGAGGUGAAAUUCGUAGAUAUCGGGAGGAACACCAGUGGCGAAGGCGGGUCUCUGGACAGUUCCUGACACUGAGGCACGAAGGCCAGGGGAGCAAACGGG